rnacentral:rRNA from 1 species
UGGAGCCGUAGCGAAAGCGAGUCUGAAUAGGGCGUGCAGUACAGCGGGGCAGACGCGAAACCAAGUGAUCUAUCCAUGGCCAGGGUGAAGCGAAGGUAAGACUUCGUGGAGGCCCGAACCGGUUGACGUUGAAAAGUCUUCGGAUGAACUGUGGAUAGGGGUGAAAGGCCAAUCAAACUUGGAGAUAGCUCGUACUCCCCGAAAUAUAUUUAGGUAUAGCGUCUGGUUUUGUCUGCCCGGAGGUAGAGCACUGAUUAGGCUAGGGGGCUUCACCGCCUACCAACCCUAGACAAACUCCGAAUACCGGGCCAGAGCCGCCAGGCAGUCAGUCCUAGGGUGAUAACGUCCUAGGGCGAGAGGGGAACAACCCAGACCACCAGCUAAGGUCCCUAAAUGAUGGCUAAGUUGAUCAAAGAAAGUUGAGUUGCUCAGACAACUAGGAGGUUGGCUUAGAAGCAGCCAUUCCUUUAAAGAGUGCGUAAUAGCUCACUAGUCAAGCGACUCGGCGUCGAUAAUAAUCGGGCAUAAGUCAUCUGCCGAAGCUGUGGGAUAGAGAUAUCGGUAGGGGAGCAUUCCAGUCAGCGUAGAAGGAGUCCUGUGAGGGGCUUUGGAGCGGUUGGAAGCGAAACUGUAGGCAUGAGUAACGAUAAGACAGGUGAAAAACCUGUCCACCGUAAACCCAAGGGUUCCUGAUCAACGCUAAUCGGAUCAGGGUUAGUCGAGACCUAAGGUGUACCCGGUGAUGCCGGGGAAGCCGAUGGCAAAGCGGUUAAAUAUUCCGCUACCCUAGCAAACGCUAGGCUAAGGCGUGACGCAGAAGUGACACUCCCGCGUGCGGACGAAUGCACGUUGAAGGGUGUAGGCUAGAGAGUAGGCAAAUCCGCUCUCUGUGAAGGCUGAACCCCGACAGUACCCGGAGUCUUCGGACGAAGGGAUAGUGGAGGUAAUCCUGCUGCCAAGAAAAGCGUCGUAGUUUGUUUGUUAGGCUCGUACCCCAAACCGACACAGGUGGGUGAGGAGAGUAUCCUCAGGUGCUCGAGUGAAUCAUGGCUAAGGAACUAGGCAAAUUAGAUCCGUAACUUCGGGAGAAGGAUCCCCCUGGCAACAGGGGCGCAGUGAAAAGGCCCAAGCGACUGUUUACCAAAAACACAUGUCUCUGCUAAGCCGUAAGGCGAUGUAUAGGGACUGACACCUGCCCGGUGCUGGAAGGUUAAGGAAGGGGGUUAGCUUCGGCGAAGCUCUUAACUGAAGCCCCAGUAAACGGCGGCCGUAACUAUAACGGUCC